rfam:Psychroflexus torquis ATCC 700755, complete genome.
ACAAAGUGGAGGCCAGAACCCAUUAGAAAAACGGCACGGAACCGAAAAGUGAUAUGAGUAGGACAAAA